rnacentral:rRNA from 1 species
AUUGAACGCUGGCGGCAUGCUUUACACAUGCAAGUCGAACGGCAGCGCGGGGCAACCUGGCGGCGAGUGGCGAACGGGUGAGUAAUACAUCGGAACGUACCCAGACGUGGGGGAUAACGUAGCGAAAGUUACGCUAAUACCGCAUACGUUCUACGGAAGAAAGUGGGGGACCUUCGGGCCUCAUGCUUUUGGAGCGGCCGAUGUCUGAUUAGCUAGUUGGUGAGGUAAAGGCUCACCAAGGCGACGAUCAGUAGCUGGUCUGAGAGGACGACCAGCCACACUGGGACUGAGACACGGCCCAGACUCCUACGGGAGGCAGCAGUGGGGAAUGUUGGACAAUGGGCGCAAGCCUGAUCCAGCAAUGCCGCGUGAGUGAAGAAGGCCUUCGGGUUGUAAAGCUCGUUUGUCAGUGAAGAAACGGCUGAGGAUAAUACCUUCGGCUAAUGACGGUACCUGAAGAAUAAGCACCGGCUAACUACGUG